rnacentral:rRNA from 1 species
GACGUAGGGCGCGAGCGUUGUCCGGAUUUAUUGGGCGUAAAGAGCUCGUAGGCGGCUUGUCGCGUCGUCCGUGAAAACCUGCAGCUCAACUGCGGGCUUGCGGUCGAUACGGGCAGGCUAGAGUUCGGUAGGGGAGACUGGAAUUCCUGGUGUAGCGGUGAAAUGCGCAGAUAUCAGGAGGAACACCGAUGGCGAAGGCAGGUCUCUGGGCAUUAACUGACGCUGAGGAGCGAAAGCAUGGGGAGCGAACAGG